GGUCACUCAUUCUGGUGAAGGCAGAUGCCAUGUCAUUGAAGACAUCGAAGCAGCUUCACAGAGAGGUCCACAAGGAACCAGUGACAACUUCUACCUGAAUGACAGAUACAUUUGAGAACUACUGCUAACUUCUUAAAUCCCUUCCUACUCUCAGAUAAGCUCUGAGUGCCUCAUCCUGUUCUUCAUCCUGAAUUCAGUGACUGCAGUAACCAGUGACUUAAUCCUUGUAGAACUGGGUGGCCUUGCUCAUUCUGAGCUUCUGAGAACUCUCUCCCUGUCCACUUCUGCUCAACUCAUUUCACCCUCUAACUCCUGUUCACCAUCCAGGUAUUGGUUUAGUUAUUACUUCCUCCAGGAAGGCUUCCCUAAUACUUUAAAAUUCUGGGUUAAGUGGCGUGAGUUCUGUACACUUUUCGUGUUACAUUUCAAUUGCCUCUUCACUUAGUUGAAUUCUCCACUAGACUGGGUUUUCUGAGAUCAGAGACACUACUUUGUUUGUAGAAUGUAUUUAGCAGCUGGAAGGAACACAGUUUGUCAUUUAGUAAAUAUUUUUUAAAGUAUAUUUUAUUUUUUGUUUUUUUAUAGCUAUUCUUUUCCUUCCUCUCCUAUGGUCAGUCAGCCUUUGCUCCCCUCACCCAUUAACUUUGGUUAACUUUGGUGGCUGUGUGGUUUGCUUUAACCAAUGGGAUGUGAGCAGAUAUAACAUAUAACAUAUUUGGGCCAAAGCUUUAAACACACUUGCAUGAUUGACACUCCUCUUCUUCCUGCCUUCCAAGGUCAGA